rnacentral:rRNA from 1 species
GAUGAACGCUGGCGGCGUGCCUAAUACAUGCAAGUCGAGCGAACAGACGAGGAGCUUGCUCCUCUGACGUUAGCGGCGGACGGGUGAGUAACACGUGGAUAACCUACCUAUAAGACUGGGAUAACUUCGGGAAACCGGAGCUCAUACCGGAUAAUAUAUUGAACCGCAUGGUUCAAUAGUGAAAGACGGUUUUGCUGUCACUUAUAGAUGGAUCCGCGCCGCAUUAGCUAGUUGGUAAGGUAACGGCUUACCAAGGCAACGAUGCGUAGCCGACCUGAGAGGGUGAUCGGCCACACUGGAACUGAGACACGGUCCAGACUCCUACGGGAGGCAGCAGUAGGGAAUCUUCCGCAAUGGGCGAAAGCCUGACGGAGCAACGCCGCGUGAGUGAUGAAGGUCUUCGGAUCGUAAAACUCUGUUAUUAGGGAAGAACAAAUGUGUAAGUAACUAUUCACGUCUUGACGUUACCUAAUCAGAAAGCCACGGCUAACUACGUG